rnacentral:rRNA from 1 species
UUCUGGCUCAGGAUGAACGCUGGCGGCGUGCUUAACACAUGCAAGUCGAACGAAGCUAAGGGAGCUUGCUCCCAAAGCUAGUGGCGGACGGGUGAGUAACGCGUGGGUAACCUGCCCUAUAGAGGGGGAUAACGUUCGGAAACGAACGCUAAUACCGCAUAAACCAUAAGGAGCUGCAUGGCUCUGAUGGCAAAGAUUUAUCGCUAUAGGAUGGACCUGCGUUGGAUUAGCUAGUUGGUGAGAUAACAGCUCACCAAGGCGACGAUCCAUAGCCGGCCUGAGAGGGUGAACGGCCACAUUGGGACUGAGACACGGCCCAAACUCCUACGGGAGGCAGCAGUGGGGAAUAUUGCACAAUGGGCGCAAGCCUGAUGCAAGCGACGCCGCGUGAAGGAAGAAGGUCUUCGGAUUGUAAACUUCUAUCAGCAGGGAAGAAUAAAUGACGGUACCUGACUAAGAAGCCCCGGCUAACUACGUGCCAGCAGCUGC